AACUUUUAAUAAUAAAUCUCUUAGUUUUAGUAUUAAUAAAGAAUAUAACGAAAUACAAUAAGUAAUAUAAAUUAUAGAAUUUAGUAAAUUAUUAAAUCUUUAAACGUAUAUUAUAUUUAGUAGUACUCUAUUAGGUAUAUUUGUUCGAGUAUUA
rnacentral:rRNA from 1 species